GACAUUUCCGGCAGUCUGCGGCAUUGCUGGAAGUGCAACGGAGUUGUUUGGUUGUAAAGAUGCUUGAGUUAUGAAUAUCUUACAGACAGCAGGAUCAACCAGUGACCUCUAAAGAUUAGCCAGGAUGUUUCAGAGUCUGGCCCAGAGACCAUGGCAUGUACUCUGUAGAUUCUAUUUGCAGCACCAUGCAGCUCGAGUCUGCCAGCCUUGCCAUGGGUGGAAAGGUAGCAGGACUACCAGAAGCCUCUGGUAUAGUUUGCCAGCCAGCCAUAUGCCUGGUACAGCAACAACAACCCAAAUCCAUUUUUACUCUUCUACCAGUGGAGAGAAGGGUGGGCCAGACAAAACAAGCACUACAGCAUCACCAGACAAGGCAUCUGCCUCCCAGACUAAACCUGAAGCUACUACUGGUAAGGUCUAAAUGCCAC